UACGAGGGGGGCAAGCGUUGUCCGGAAUUAUUGGGCGUAAAGAGCUCGUAGGCGGUUUGUUGCGUCGGCUGUGAAAUCCCGAGGCUCAACCUCGGGUCUGCAGUCGAUACGAGCAAACUAGAGUGUUGCAGGGGAGACUGGAAUUCCUGGUGUAGCGGUGAAAUGCGCAGAUAUCAGGAGGAACACCGGUGGCGAAGGCGGGUCUCUGGGCCGUAACUGGACGC
rnacentral:rRNA from 1 species